GUGCUCACUUUGGCAGUACAUAUACUAAAGCUGGACUGAAACAGAGAAGAUUAAUUAGCAUGGCCCCUGCACAAGGAUGACACACAAAUUUGUGAAGCGUUGCAUAUUUUU
ensembl:snRNA U6 U6 spliceosomal RNA